rnacentral:rRNA from 1 species
GAUGAACGCUGGCGGCGUGCCUAAUACAUGCAAGUCGGGCGAACGGACGAGAAGCUUGCUUCCCUGAUGUUAGCGGCGGACGGGUGAGUAACACGUGGAUAACCUACCUAUAAGACUGGGAUAACUUCGGGAAACCGUAGCUAAUACCGGAUAAUAUUUUGAACCGCAUGGUUCAAAAGUGAAAGACGGUCUUGCUGUCACUUAUAGAUGGAUCCGCGCUGCAUUAGCUAGUUGGUAAGGUAACGGCUUACCAAGGCAACGAUGCAUAGCCGACCUGAGAGGGUGAUCGGCCACACUGGAACUGAGACACGGUCCAGACUCCUACGGGAGGCAGCAGUAGGGAAUCUUCCGCAAUGGGCGAAAGCCUGACGGAGCAACGCCGCGUGAGUGAUGAAGGUCUUCGGAUCGUAAAACUCUGUUAUUAGGGAAGAACAUAUGUGUAAGUAACUGUGCACAUCUUGACGGUACCUAAUCAGAAAGCCACGGCUAACUACGUG